AAACUUCUCCUCUUCAUCACCUCUUCCAUCUGUCUCUCACUUUUGCGCUUCUUGCUAGAGCGCCCCCUGGAGGACGUUAGCCUGUAUAAAGCUAUAGUCGAGCUGCAUCGUUGUACAAGCCGCAGGGUUCAAAACAGGAAAAAAGUAGUGGCUUAUAGUCCGUAAAGUACGGUAAGUUUUCUGAGGUUAUUUGUCACCA